UACGAGGGGGGGCAAGCGUUGUUCGGAAUUAUUGGGCGUAAAGGGCGCGUAGGCGGUGCGGUAAGACUGUGGUGAAAUCUUCGGGCUCAACUCGAAGCCUGCCGCGGUGACUGCCGUGCUCGAGUGUGGGAGAGGUGAGUGGAAUUCCCGGUGUAGCGGUGAAAUGCGUAGAUAUCAGGAGGAACACCGGUGGUGUAGACGGCUCUCUGGACCGUAACUGACGCUGAGACACGAAAGCGUGGGUAGCAAACAGG
rnacentral:rRNA from 1 species